CGCUGUGGCGGCGCGGAGCCCAACCGGCAGCGCCGUAGCGCACAGCGCAGCGCCCGGCCCGGCCCAGGUAACGGCGCGGGGUUCGGGGCGGGGGGUCGGAACGGGGCCGGCGGGGGUCCUGGGGGAGAGCGGGGCACAACGGGGGGCACGGAGCCCCGCUGGGUCGGGAGGGAGGGAAUGGGGCGCCGUGGGGUUGGCUGUGAGUGAAUGGGGGCGGAUGUGGGGCGGGCAGGGCCUGCUGUGGGGCCUAUGGGGCCUGUAGGGUCUGCUGUGGGGUUUGUAGGGUCUGCUAUGGGGCCUAUGGGGCCUGUAGGGUCUGCUGUGGGGUUUGUAGGGCCUGCUGUGGGGCCUAUAGGGCCUAUAGGGUUUGCUGUGGGGCCUGUGGGGCCUGCUGUGGGGUCUGUGGGGCCUGCUGUGGGGCUUCUAGGGUCUGCUAUGGGGCCUGUAGGGUCUGCUGUAGGGCUUGUAGGGUCUGCUGUAGGGCUUGUAGGGUCUGCUGUGGGGCCUGUAGGGUCUGAUUGGGGUGUGUAUGGCCGGCUAUGGGGCGCAUAGGACAUGCUAUAGGGCACAUAGGGCAUGCUGUGUGGUGCAGAGGUUCUGUUUGGGGUAUAUAGGGACUGCUAUGGGGCACACAGGGCCUGCUGUGGGGUUUAUAGGACCUGCUGUGGGGUGUAUAGGGUCUGUUUGGGGUGUACAGGACCUGCUUUGGGGCACACAGGAACUGCUGUGGGGUGUGUAGGGUCUGUUUGGGGUGUAUAGGACCUGUUUGGGGCCUCAGGCUGCAGAGGUCGCGCUGUGGGGUUUUGGGGCUGGGGGGGGACGCGGUUCCUUUUGGGGGUCUGCGUGUUUGGGGAGGGGGGAACUCUGUGGUGCCAGCCCCACAAGUGCCAGCCCCACAAGUACCAGCCCCAUAGUGCCCCAUAGUGCCCCAUAGCGCCAGCCCUACAGUACCAGCCCCACAAGUACCAGCCCCAUAGUGCCAGCCCUACAGUAUCAGCCCCAUAGGGCCAGCCCCAUAGCGCCAGCCCUACAA
rnacentral:lncRNA from 1 species